rnacentral:rRNA from 1 species
GUCUACAGUCAUACCACCCUGAACACACUGAUCUUUCAGAAGUUAAGCAGGGUUGGGUCUGGUUAAUAUCUGGAUGGAAGAAU